rnacentral:rRNA from 1 species
CAGCAGCCGCGGUAAUACGGAGGGUGCAAGCGUUGUCCGGAUUYAUUGGGUUUAAAGGGUGCGUAGGCGGGUCUUUAAGUCAGUGGUGAAAGCCUGCAGCUUAACUGUAGAACUGCCAUUGAUACUGGAGACCUUGAGUGURCUAGAGGUAGGCGGAAUUUAUGGUGUAGCGGUGAAAUGCAUAGAUAYCAUAAAGAACACCGAUAGCGUAGGCAGCUUACUGGAGUACAACUGACGCUGAGGCACGAAAGCRUGGGGAGCGAACAGGAUUAGAUACCCUGGUAGUCCAYGCCGUAAACGAUGAUUACUCGAUGUUGGCGAUACACUGUCAGCGUCCAAGCGAAAGCGUUAAGUAAUCCACCUGGGGAGUACGCUCGCAMGAGUGAAACUCAAAGGAGUUGACGG